UAAAGCGUGCGCAGGCGGUUUUGUAAGUCUGUCGUGAAAUCCCCGGGCUCAACCUGGGAAUUGCGAUGGAGACUGCAAGGCUAGAAUCUGGCAGAGGGGGGUAGAAUUCCACGUGUAGCAGUGAAAUGCGUAGAGAUGUGGAGGAACACCGAUGGCGAAGGCAGCCCCCUGGGUCAAGAUUGACGCUCAUGCACGAAAGCGUGGGGAGCAAACAGGAUUAGAUACCCUGGUAGUCCACGCCCUAAACGAUGUCUACUAGUUGUCGGGUUUUAAUUAACUUGGUAACGCAGCUAACGCGUGAAGUAGACCGCCUGGGGAGUACGGUCGCAAGAUUAAAACUCAAAGGAAUUGACGGGGACCCGCACGAGCGGUGGAUGAUGUGGAUUAAUUCGAUGCAACGCGAAAAACCUUACCUACCCUUGACAUGUACGGAAGCCACGAGAGAUCGAGGUGUGCUCGAAAGAGAGCCGUAACACAGGUGCUCGNCAUGGCCUCGUCUGUCACGGCUUCGCUGCUCGUGAGAUGUUGGGUUAAGUCCCGCAACGAGCGCAACCCUUGUCAUUAGUUGCUACGAAAGAGCACUCUAAUGAGACUGCCGGUGACAAACCGGAGGAAGGUGGGGAUGACGUCAAGUCCUCAUGGCCCUUAUGGGUAGGGCUUCACACGUCAUACAAUGGUACAUACAGAGGGCCGCCAACCCGCGAGGGGGAGCUAAUCCCAGAAAGUGUAUCGUAGUCCGGAUUGUAGUCUGCAACUCGACUACAUGAAGUUGGAAUCGCUAGUAAUCGC
rnacentral:rRNA from 1 species